UGGGGAAUAUUGGACAAUGGGGGCAACCCUGAUCCAGCAAUGCCGCGUGUGUGAAGAAGGCCUGCGGGUUGUAAAGCACUUUGAGGUGGGAAGAAGGGCUUGAGGUGAAUAAUCUUAGGCAUUGACGUUACCACCAGAACAAGCACCGGCUAACUCCGUGCCAGCAGCCGCGGUAAUACGGAGGGUGCGAGCGUUAAUCGGAAUUACUGGGCGUAAAGCGCGCGUAGGUGGUUUGAAGAGUCUGAUGUGAAAGCCCUGGGCUUAACCUGGGAAUGGCAUUGGAUACUGUCUGACUGGAGUGUGGGAGAGGGGUGUGGAAUUUCCGGUGUAGCAGUGAAAUGCGUAGAGAUCGGAAGGAACACCAGUGGCGAAGGCGGCACCCUGGACCAACACUGACGCU
rnacentral:rRNA from 1 species